UCGGUGUGUACAAGACCCGGGAACGUAUUCACCGCGGCAUGCUGAUCCGCGAUUACUAGCGAUUCCGACUUCGUGUAGGCGAGUUGCAGCCUACAGUCCGAACUGAGAACGGCUUUAAGAGAUUAGCUUACUCUCGCGAGUUCGCAACUCGUUGUACCGUCCAUUGUAGCACGUGUGUAGCCCAGGUCAUAAGGGGCAUGAUGAUCUGACGUCGUCCCCACCUUCCUCCGGUUUGUCACCGGCAGUCUCACUAGAGUGCCCAACUGAAUGCUGGCAACUAGUAACAAGGGUUGCGCUCGUUGCGGGACUUAACCCAACAUCUCACGACACGAGCUGACGACGACCAUGCACCACCUGUCAUUGCGUCCCCGAAGGGAACGCCUAAUCUCUUAGGUUAGCGCAAGAUGUCAAGACCUGGUAAGGUUCUUCGCGUUA
rnacentral:misc_RNA from 1 species